rnacentral:rRNA from 1 species
GGGUCGAUAGCCAUGCGUCUAAUGGUUUUUCGUAAACAUAGCGAACUGCUCAGUAACACGUGGAUAACCUACCCUUAGGACCGGAAUAACCCCGGGAAACUGGGGAUAAUACCGGAUAAAUCAUAGAUGCUGGAAUGCCCUAUGGUUCAAAGCUCCGGCGCCUAAGGAUGGAUCUGCGGUCUAUCAGGUUGUAGUGGGUGUAACGUACCUACUAGCCGACGACGGAUACGGGUUGUGAGAGCAAGAGCCCGGAGAUGGAUUCUGAGACAAGAAUCCAGGCCCUACGGGGUGCAGCAGGCGCGAACACUUUACAAUGUGCGAAAGCAUGAUAAGGGAACUCCGAGUGCCAGUAUCUAAUACUGGCUGUCCUUGUGCCUAAAACGCACAAGAUAGCAAGGGCCGGGUAAGACCGGUGCCAGCCGCCGCGGUAACACCGGCGGCCCGAGUGGUAGCCGCUAUUAUUGGGUCUAAAGGGUCCGUAGCCGGUUCGAUAAGUCCUUUGGGAAAUCUGACAGCUUAACUGUCAGGCUUCUAAGGGAUACUGUCAGGCUUGGGACCGGAAGAGGUAAGGGGUACUUCAGGGGUAGGAGUGAAAUCUUGUAAUCCCUGGGGGACCAUCUGUGGCGAAGGCGUCUUACCAGAACGGGUCUGACGGUGAGGGACGAAAGCUGGGGGCGCAAACCGGGGAUAAAUACCCGGGUAGUCCCAGCCGUAAACGAUGCU